UGGGGAAUUUUGCACAAUGGGGGAAACCCUGAUGCAGCGACGCCGCGUGAUUUAGAAGGCCUUCGGGUUGUAAAAAUCUUUUCUAUGGGAAGAAAAUGACAGUACCAUAGGAAUAAUGACCGGCUAAUUACGUGCCAGCAGCCGCGGUAAUACGUAAGGUCCGAGCGUUGUCCGGAAUCAUUGGGCGUAAAGGGUACGUAGGCGGGUAAGCAAGUUAGAAGUGAAAUCCUAUAGCUCAACUAUAGUAAGCUUUUAAAACUGCUCAUCUUGAGGUAUGGAAGGGAAAGUGGAAUUCCUAGUGUAGCGGUGAAAUGCGCAGAUAUUAGGAGGAAUACCGGUGGCGAAGGCGACUUUCUGGCCAUAACCUGACGCUGAGGUGCGAAAGCGUGGGUAGCAAACAGG
rnacentral:rRNA from 1 species